AUGCCGUCAUUAUCGAACAUGGCUCAGCCCCGGGAGGAGCUCCCCCAGCCACCUGCCUCAGGGGCUCCGGCCUGUGGCCCGGCCUCAGGAGCACGCCUGCUCCUGACGAUGGAACCUCAGGAGGGAUGUUGGAUCACGGAGCUCCGGACUUACCUAACGCAAGGGACCCUGCCGGAGAAGGAGGAGGAAGCGGAGCGAGGGCCAUUCGCAGUCUGGGGGCUGGACAUCUUGGGCCCAUUUUCUCGGGCGCUCGGGGGCUACCGCUACCUCUACGUUGCCGUGGACAAGUUCACCAAGUGGGCUGAAGUAGAGGCGGUCUGCACCAUUCCCGCGGGUUCCGCGGUCAAGUUCAUCAAGGGCAUCGUGAGCCGGUUCAGGGUGCCGAAUCGCAUCAUCAUGGACAACGGUUCGCAGUUCACUAGUAACCUCUUCAAAACAUACUGUGCUAACCUUGGAACGCAGAUAUGCUACCCUUCGGUGGCGCACCCCCGAAGCAACGGCCAGGCCGAGCGAGCCAACGUGGAGGUCCUGAGGGGCCUCAAGACCAGGACGUUCAAGAAGAAGUUGGAGGCCUGUGGCAGAGGUUGGUACGACGAGCUUCAGUCCAUGUUGUGGUCCAUCCGCACAACCGUGACCAAGCCGACUGGAGAGACCCCGUUCUUCCUGGUCUACGGAGCCGAAGCGGUCCUCCCUCACGAGGUCAGACGUCGCUCCGCGUGGGUCCUGGCAUUUGACGAGGCGCAACAGGACGCCAUGCGGGGGAUGGACCUCAUGCUGGGGGAGGAACGUCGCCGAGAAGCCGUGCUACGAGCAGCGAGGUACCAACAAGCACUGCGGCGAUAUCACUGCCGCAACAUCUGCCCCAGAACUCUCGAGGUAGGAGACCUCGUGCUCAAGCGGGUUCUCUCCAGGGAGGGGCUGCACAAGCUCUCUCCCAUGUGGGAGGGCCUGUUCAAAGUUGUUCAUGUUUCCAGGCCCGGCUCCGAGCGCUUGGAGACUCAGGAGGGGGUGCCAGUCUAG
rnacentral:rRNA from 1 species